rnacentral:rRNA from 1 species
CCUACGGGAGGCAGCAGUGGGGAAUCUUCCUCAAUGCAGAAAGUCUGAUCAGCAAAGCCGCGGAGCGAAGAACCGCUCGGCUUGUAAAGCGCUAAUCAGGGAGGAACAAGUACGGGUUUACCCCCGGGACAAGACGUACCUCAGAAAAGCACCGCUACUUCG